GGGGGCGAACAGGUCUCGACAUGGGCUGUACCGAGGUGGGAGCAGCAGGCCGAGGUCCGGUGGCCUCGUUAAACUGCCGGAACAACACACUUGCCGAGGAUAACCUCGCACUCGCCGCCUAAUCACUAGGUAGCGCAUCGCACCCGGGACGCCCGCGCCCGGGAGUCGCGGUGUCAUUGAGCGGGCUGGGGUGCGGUCGCACUGCUCCGAGCGGACGCAUCCGAGAUCGAUCGGGGCUGGCGGACGGCACCCGGCCGACGCGGGGGCCGCGAGCGAGACUGAAUGCGACGGCUAAGCCUGUAGAGACUCCGCCGAGGCGUCCGUGGACGCGGGUUCGAUUCCCGCCGCCUCCACCA
rnacentral:tmRNA from 1 species